GACGAACGCUGGCGGCGUGCUUAACACAUGCAAGUCGAGCGGUAAGGCCCUUUCGGGGGUACACGAGCGGCGAACGGGUGAGUAACACGUGGGUGACCUGCCUUUAGCUCUGGGAUAAGCCUGGGAAACUGGGUCUAAUACCGGAUAUGACUCCGCGGUGCAUGCUGUGGGGUGGAAAGCCUUGUGCGGCUGGAGAUGGGCCCGCGGCCUAUCAGCUUGUUGGUAGGGUGAUGGCCUACCAAGGCGACGACGGGUAGCCGGCCUGAGAGGGCGACCGGCCACACUGGGACUGAGACACGGCCCAGACUCCUACGGGAGGCAGCAGUGGGGAAUCUUGCGCAAUGGGCGAAAGCCUGACGCAGCGACGCCGCGUGAGGGAUGACGGCCU
rnacentral:rRNA from 1 species